UGUCGACUAAUCUCACGAAGCUUGCCC
rnacentral:sRNA from 1 species